AUGCUACUCUCUCCGUUCAAAAUACUUGUCAUUAAAAUGAAUAAAAAUGAUGUAUCUAAAACUAAAAUACAUCUAGAUACAUCUUUUUUAUUUAUUUUGAUGACAAAUAUUUUCGGACGAAGGGAGUAUCAG
rfam:Triticum aestivum genome assembly, contig: Triticum_aestivum_CS42_TGACv1_scaffold_211361_3AS